UACGUAGGGUCCGAGCGUUGUCCGGAAUUAUUGGGCGUAAAGGGCUCGUAGGCGGUUUGUCAAGUCGGGGGUGAAAACCCGGGGCUCAACCCCGGAAUUGCCUCCGAAACUGGCAGACUUGAGUACGAGAGAGGGUCGCGGAAUUCUUGGUGUAGAGGUGAAAUUCGUAGAUAUCAGGAAGAACACCAGUGGCGAAAGCGGCGACCUGGCUCGAUACUGACGCUCAUGCACGAAAGCGUGGGGAGCAAACAGG
rnacentral:rRNA from 1 species